rfam:Pteropus alecto contig166516, whole genome shotgun sequence.
GUAUGUGAAAGUGUUGACUAGAAUGUUUACUUUGGAAUGGCUAUAAGCAUUACAAAAAAGAUUAAAAACAUAC